rnacentral:lncRNA from 1 species
CAGCACUUGAGCAGCUUUCUUCUGCGUUAGGAAGCCUGGGGAGAGGGGAACUGGCUAAAGGGCAAAAUGUCACUGAGGAACUUCGGAGAAGAUGGGGACAAGGCGUCGGGCGGGGGAGCCAGCGCUCAGGAGCCCAGGCACCAUACUGUCUUUUCGAGGUAGGAGUCGACUCCUGUGAGGUAUGGUGCUGGGUGCAGAUGCAGUGUGGCUCUGGAUAGCACCUUAUGGACAGUUGUGUCCCCAAGGAAGGAUGAGAAUAGCUACUGAAGUCCUAAAGAGCAAGCCUAACUCAAGCCAUUGGCACACAGGCAUUAGACAGAAAGCUGGAAGUUGAAAUGGUGGAGUCCAACUUGCCUGGACCAGCUUAAUGGUUCUGCUCCUGGUAACGUUUUUAUCCAUGGAUGACUUGCUUGGGUAUGGAGAGUCGGCUUGACUACACUGUGUGGAGCAAGUUUUAAAGAAGCAAAGGACUCAGAAUUCAUGAUUGAAGAAAUGCAGGCAGACCUGUUAUCCUAAACUAGGGUUUUUAAUGACCACAACAAGCAAGCAUGCAGCUUACUGCUUGAAAGGGUCUUGCCUCACCCAAGCUAGAGUGCAGUGGCCUUUGAAGCUUACUACAGCCUCAAACUUCUGGGCUCAAGUGAUCCUCAGCCUCCCAGUGGUCUUUGUAGACUGCCUGAUGGAGUCUCAUGGCACAAGAAGAUUAAAACAGUGUCUCCAAUUUUAAUAAAUUUUUGCAAUCCAUCUGGAGUGUGUAGUGUUUACUUAAAAAAGGACAGUGCUUUUCAUCUGUUCAUUAGCUGUAAGCAUAAAUCACAUUCAAAAGCUAUUAUAACUCCAUGGUAUUUGCUUCAUUAACACUGCAGCCAGUUAAAAUUUUAUGGGUAUUUUACAAGGUGUCUUAUGCAUUAAAGUGCAAUAUUUCCUAAUUCUCCAUAUGAGCAAAUUGUCAGGUUUCAUAGGCCCCUGUGCUAAUUGGUUUUGAGCUUAAAGUAUUGAUGGAGCUACUUGGAGAAAGUCAUGUUGAGUCUGAGGCUGGGAAAAUAAGUUAUAGAAAAUACUAUAGAAAUGCCCAACUAGUGAUAGGCAUUAAUGGAAUUGGGAAAAUCUACAAUCCAUAGCCAUGGUGAUAGGUUUUUGGCAAGCACUAAGUGUUUAGGGAUGCCAAAAGUGGGUAUAAAGGGCACAACUGGUUUAAGGCAAUCUGUCCCAGGGAAACAGGACCAAGGGGCCAAAAUUCCAAGAUGGGUCAAAUUUUAAUUUCAGUGUCAGUACAGCUGUGCUUAUAAUGAUGUCUUUGUUAGCAGUAAUGGUUUUACAAAUCUGUUUCUGGGCUAAAGCACUUUAGUCCCAUUAAUGAUAAAACUUCAGUUACUCUCUGAAUUUUCCUUUUUUUGAGACUGAAUCCUGUUGCCCAGGCUGGAGUGCAAUGGCAUGAUCUCAACCGCUGCUCACUGCAACCUCUACCUCCCGGGUUCAAGCGAUUCUCUUCAGCCUCUUGUAGCUAGGACUAUAGGCACCUACCAUCACAACCAACUCAUUUUGGUAUUUUUAGUAGAGACGAAACCCCAUCCUCCCAAAGUGCUGGGAUUUCACAGGCCUGAGCCGCAGUGCCCGGCCUCCCAGGCCUUUUAUGCUUGAUGUUUUUUUCAGGGCCCUUCCCAUUGUCAUUUCACAAUCUCAUUGAAAUGUCAGCUUAUGCACUAAAUGCGUGUAAGUUGGGAAUGCCCAAUUUUGUCUAAGAAAAAAGGCCUCCCCCUCCCCCAAAUAAGCACAUUCUUUCAUUUCCUGGGGCUCACCCGAAUGUCUCACACAGGCUGUAAAACAACUACCACCACCUGGCUGGGUGCUGAGGUGGGCAGAUUACCUGAGGUCAGGAUUUCAAGACCAACCUGGCCAAUAUGGUGAAACCCCAUCUCUACUAAAAAUACAAAAAUCUAGCCGGGUGUAGUGGUGGGCUAUUGUAGUCCCAGCUAUUCGGGAGGCUGAGGCAGGGGAACUGAACCUGGGAGGCUGAGGUUGCAGUGACCCGUGAUCCUGCCACUGCACUCCAGCCUGGGUGCCAGGGUGAGACUUUCUCAAAGGAAAAAAGAAGGCUGGGCGUGGUGGUUCAUGCCUGUAAUCCCACCACUUUGGGAGGCCGAGGCGGGUGGAUCACACGGUCAGGAGUUUGAGACCAGCCUGACCAACAUAGUGAAACCCCCAUCUCUACUAAAAAUACAAAAGUUAGCCAGGUGUGGCGUGCACCUGUAAUCCCAGCUACUCAGGAGGCUGAGGCAGGAGAAUUGCUUGAACCUAGGAAGUGGAGGUUGCAGUGAACUGAGAUCAUGCCACCGCACUCCAGCCUGGGCAACGGCGAGACUUGGUCUCAAAAAAAAACACACACACAAAACUACCACCACCUACCCCAAUCGGUUACCCUUUACUUUUCAUGUGACCACCAUGACCUAUUAUGUGUUUUGUUCUUACUUCCCCCACAAGAAUGUAAGCGCUUCAAGUUUAUUCCUUAAUGUUGGAAAAAUGAAUGAAACUGCAAAUGUAGUAGAUCAGUUUUUGGGGAGGUACCAAAGACAAGUUGGUAAAAUACCUUGAUUUUGAAGUGAAAAACGAUGUUACAUUUCAAAGUAUCUUUUCGCCAGGUUAUGGCUCAGGCUUCGAGACCAGCCUGGCCAACAUGGCAAAACCCGGUCUCUACUGAAAAAAAGCGAAAAUUAGCCGGGUGUGGUAGUGUGGGCCUGUAGUCCCAGCUACUCUGAACCCUGGAGGUGGAGGUUGCAGUGAACCAAGAUCGUGCCACCUCACUCCAGCCUGGGCCUCCUAGGCUCAAGUGAUUGUUGUGCCUCAACUACCUGAGUAGCUGGGAUGACAGGUGUGUGCCACCACUCCCAGCUAAUUUUUUUUUCUGUAUUUUUAGUAGAGAUGGAGUUUCACCAUGUCAGCCAGGCUAGUCUUGAACUCCUGGCCUCAAGUGAUCCAACUGCCCUGCCCUCCCAAAGUGCUGGGAUUACAGGUGUGAGCCACUGCAUCCAGCCAAGUUCUAUUCUUUUUUUUUUUUUUUUUGAGACGGAGUUUCGCUCGUGUUGCCCAGGCUGGAAUGUAGCGGCGCAAUCUUGGCUCACUGCAACCUCCACCUCCCAGGUUCAAGCGAUUCUCCUGCCUCAGCCUUCCAAGUAGCUGGGAUUACAGGCGUGGGCCACCAUGCCUGGCUAUUUUUGUAUUUUUAGUAGAGAGGGGGUUUCACCACGUUGGCCAGGCUGGUCUCGAACUCCUGACCUCGUGAUCUGCCCACCUAGCCUCCCAAAGUGCUGGGAUUACAGGCGUGAGCCACCGCAUCCAGCUUCUUGUUCUCUCUUUUAUAUAUAAGUGCCAUUUGCUGAAUCAGAAAACUUUUUGACAAGCAUAUUAAAAGAUUUCAGUUGUAUGUAGUAGCUCAUGCCUGUAAUCCCAACACUUUGGGAAACCAAGGUGGGGGGAUUGCUUGAGUCCAGGAGUUCAAGACCGGCCUGGGCAACAUAGUGAGACCCUGUGUCUACAAUUAAAAAAAAAAAGAAAAAAAAAGUGAGCCGGGCAUGAUGGUGCAUGCCUGUAGUCCCAACCACUCAUGAGACUGAGGUGGGACGAUCGCUUGAGCCCAGGAGGUUGAGGAUGCAGUGAGCUGUGUCACACCACUGGAUUCCAGCCUGGGUGACAGGGUGAGAUGUUGUCUCAAAUAAAAUAUUAAAAAUUGGAUCACCUUAUUCAGCAUUCUGUUGUUUAGCAGUUUUGGAAUUUUAGUUGUUAGUAAAUCUUGACCUUGAGUACACGUUAUUUUGAUAUUCUGUGUGACAAAAUGGGAAGUAUGCAUGAAGCACAUCUGCCAUAAAGUAUGGAUGUCUAGAUUUUUUUUUCCCUAGAAAAAGUAGUUACAAUUGUUUGAGAUACAAGCUGAACUAGCUGCUUGUUUUCACAGAACAUUUUUAGUUUGAAAAAACCUGACAAAUUGAUUAUUCAUAUUUUAGGGGUAAUUUUGGCAGAGAUUUGCUCAAAAAAGAACAAGUCAGCUUGGAAAAAACUGAUGGCAUUUGUUGCCAAUGAUAAAACUCAAGCUUCCAAAUGAAACCUAAAAUUUUGGAAGGCUUGUAUACACUUCUGUGCCCUUAUAGCUUCCUCAGACUUAGACUUUUGUAAUGGGAUUGGUGGUAAUAUUAAUUAAUGGUAUUUUGUUUUAGAUAUUGUAUAUCAAAAUGUGUCAACAUUUGGAAGAUUUGCAUAACUCAGUGAACCAAUAUUUUCCAAAUGAUCAAUCACUGGACUGGUGUUACAAAUAUCACACAUAGGUAAAAGUUCUAUUUAAAUACAAGGUACACCAAUGGACUUUAGAAAAGCUCAUCAAUACGAUUUCAGAAUCCACAUUGCAACUAGCCUUUAAGGAACUCUACUACUUGUCAUAUUUUGGUGUGGUAUCAAAGAGAGUAUCCAUAAUUAUCAGACAAAGCUAUUAAAAUACUCCUCCCUUUUCCAACUUUAUAUAUGAGUGGGGUCAGAUUUUCUUCACAGACUUCAACCAAAACAGCAUAUAACAACAGAUAGGAUACAGAAGCAGAUAUCAGAAUCUAGUGUCUUCUAUUAAGCCAGAAAUAAAAAAUAUUUGCAGAAAUAUAAAACAAUGUUACUCUUCUAUUUUUUUUUUGAAAAUAAUUAUUUUUAAAAUAAAAACAUGGCUGAGUGUGGUGGCUCACGCCUUUGUAAUCCCAGAACUUUGGGAGGCUGAGGCAGGCGGAUCACCUGAGGCCAGGAGCUUGAGACCAGCCUGGUCAACAUGGCAAAACCUCGUCUCUACUAAAAAUACAAAAAUUAACCAGGUGUGGUGGAGGGCACCUGUGGUCCCAACUACUCAGGAGGCUGAGGCAGGAAAACUGCCUGAACCCGGGAGGUGGAGGAUGAAGUGAGCCAAGAUCGCACCAUUGCACUCCAGCCUGGGCAACAGAGUGAGACUCUGUCUCAAAAUAAAAUAAAAUAAAAACAUGCUAUUUGUGUUAACAUGUAAUGGGUUAUUUUAAAAUGAAUUUAACAUUUUAAACUAAAUCAUUAAAUCAAUUAUUAAUUAAUUAAAUAGGAGGCUGAGGCAGGAGAAUCACUUGAACCCAGGAGGUGGAGGUUGCAG